rnacentral:rRNA from 1 species
UACGGAGGAUGCGAGCGUUAUCCGGAUUUAUUGGGUUUAAAGGGUGCGUAGGCGGACGCUUAAGUCAGCGGUAAAAUUGCGGGGCUCAACCCCGUCGUGCCGUUGAAACUGAUGUUCUUGAGUGGGCGAGAAGUAUGCGGAAUGCGUGGUGUAGCGGUGAAAUGCAUAGAUAUCACGCAGAACUCCGAUUGCGAAGGCAGCAUGCCGGCUUCCGACUGACGCUGAAGCACGAAAGCGUGGGGAUCGAACAGG